GGGGGGUUAGGGUGAGCGUGGCCGGAGAGGGCAAGCCUCGUUCUGCAAGGCUCAAGGCCUUCCCCGGAAGAUGUGAGCGACAGGACUGCCCCCGCCUCCCCGGCUUCUGUCUUAACUCAGGCGAGCACCCGACAGGCCAAGCAACCCCCAUGGGAACCAACAGUACCCCCGUCGCGCCAUGGGGACUGCCCUGAGCCGCAGGAGCCCGCGCGCCUGACCCCAAGGCAACGAUCCACCUGACCUUCGCUGCCCACCUGCGCGGGCCCACCGACCUUUGUCCCACACUCGCCUUACGUGAACCUGGACGUAUUUUCAGCGCUUUGGAGACGGCCUUUGAGACGCUAGUCUUCCCAGUGGUGGCCUCAUUGGAAUAAAUUCCUUUCCUGUGUCCCCACCAUCCAUCACUCUGCCUUUGACUUUGUGAACGGCCAGUGGCCAAACCCGGUGUCCGGGACCCCCAGCCAGGGGCUCUUGCCCCCCGCACCCUGGCGACAGGAGGAACAAAGGCCAGAAGCCAGACCAUCUUACCCGACGCUGGGGAUUCGUUUUUACGGACUAGCAUAGAGGUCUGUGGCCACAUGUGACAUCCAGGACUCCGUCCCCUGUUGUUGAGAGCCUUUGUCACCGACGGAACGCUGAGGGAAGGGCUUCACCGUGUAGGAGAAACAGUCAGAGUCCCCAUCCCCACUGGUGAACUUCUCUGCCAGACGCUCACGGUCUGACCCCUUUCAACCUCUCCUCUCUUGCCCCCCACGCCUCCUGCUUCUGUUCCUUGUCUCUUCUGACCUCAAUCGUCAGAGAGUGGUUCCCAGUUUCAGGAGACUCGUUAUCCCCAGACCGCACACGGAUCUCCCUCAGCCUCUGAUGGAUGCCCAAAGUGCCACAAUCUCGUUGCAUAACCUUAUUAAUAUUACCUUAUUACUGUUUAAUGUAUAUGAGAUAUUUUA